GGGGAAAACAAUCCUUUCCCCCUCGCCCGGAGCACUGAUCGGAUUCUUGUCCAUAUCUUAUUAAAGAGUGGACGAAUGAUCCGACUGAAUGGCCUGAAGUUUCAUUCCCUGAUAUCUUCUGCUACCUGGUUGAAUCACCCGGGAUUUACACACACACGCCUAAAGAACUAUCGGUCCCUGGAGGCACACAACUUUUUUACAAGUGGCUUUGUUGGAGUUGUGCUCCAUCAUAAACUACCUUCAUCGGAUACCUACCUGUUCCGAUGUGAUGUAAAGCCAUCCUGGAGGGUGACAGAGAAGCCGCAAAGGCUGGCUUCCGCAUCUGCCAAACUAUGCCAUACCUGGGGGUUUCAUGUGAUGGCUAUGUUUCCUGUGACUGCUGUGG